GCCAGCCCCUAGCGCAGACGGCGGAGAGCUGGGAUGGAGCGCGCCUUGGCCCGCUGGCCGUGGCUGCAGCUCCUCGGGAGAACCGGGGCGCCCACGCGAGAAUCUCCCCACCUGGGCCUCUCUUCAGGGAUGACAUCAUCCGUUCGCCUUGUCUUCAAGGACCACCUCUCCAUGCCAAGCUGUUGCCAAGCUGCUUGCGGCUCGUCUCCACCUCAUGGUACCUAACCCCUCCUGUGGCUGUUUAUACCCAACAUGAGGACACUAGGAGCACCGAUUCCUGGAUCCCCCCAGCAUACAAAGCAGCCGCUGGCAGAGACCCCCAGGACCAGGACGACGAGGGAUGAAGAGGACCAGGACUGACAAGCCAGCUGUCCCUCUUGGCUAAAGGCUUAAACCAGUGCCCUAGUGAGGGGGCACUGGCUGCUAACCCCUGAUCUUUGCUACGCUUGUGCUUGGUCUCUGUGAAUACUUUCCCAUAAGUCUCUGCUGUGUUAAUGUGCCGGCGACCUGGAGCGCUUCCCUCAGGGUGGUGUCAGUCUUUCUCCACUGACCCUGCUGUUGCCCUUAUGAUAUCCUGAAUGGAAAGAUCCCUUUGGGAACUCCUCAGGAGGGGGACCUAGGCCAGAGGCUCCUCUAGCAUCUCACUGGCGAUUCCAAGGCCCAGGGUGGGCUUGUGGAAUGAGCAUGAGCCCUCAUGUCAUGCUACUGAACUGCCAAAGGCAUGCUCCCCUCUUUCGAGAUCCCCCGUCCUUUCUGGGCAAUGGGGAUGAGAAGUGCAACCUCCUAGGGUUGUUGUGAGUAUUAAAUGAGAGAAAGCAGCCUUGGGCAGGGCUGGGCAUAGAGGAUGCGGUCAGCAAAUGUUUGUUGAAAAAAUUUGGCAGGUCAAUCCAUUCCUACCUCUCUCACUUGUCGUACUUGUUCUCCCACAGCACUCCGGACAGCCCCUGUCCCCCAGGCUCUCCUUGCAUCAGGUAGGGGCCCCACCAGCGGGCCCUGGGCUGACCUGAAGGAAUACGAAUUAUGCAUGCGGUCAUUUCCAGAGCACUUUCUAUGUAGAUGAAUGUUCUUUCUAUGUCAUAGGAGUAUGUGUAUGAGGCGGCCUCAUUUACAGAUGAGGAUGAAUUUGUCAUUGAUUUGAGUAAUUUUCAAAAGGCGGGUGGGGAAGAGGACCCAUGAAAGCUGAGUGCCCCUCCCACGGGAUAGGGCUCACCCACGUUGGCAGUGAGGAUGGACGCCGAGGCUGGAGGGAUGUAAGUAUUUUGUCACAUUGCUGGCAAGAGAAGAGGUCAUAGUUGGAUCCUGGGUGCCAUUGUAGCCGCCCUGUACCCCCUAGCCCAGAGUUAUAUUAAAAGCCCUUUGACGUCCAGUCAGACAUUUGACAAAGGGACAGUCUCUUUGAAAUCCCAGCUGCCCAGGGUGGUCUUGGGGUCUGGGUGGCCCCAGAGCUGGUACCCUGUGCUGGCUCCACCUCCCAGUAACAGUGUGACCUUAAACAAGUCGCUUAACUUCUCCGAGUCUCAGUUCCUUUCAUGGUCUAAAUGGGGAUUAAAAAAAAAAAAAAAAAACCUCCGCGUUUAUCUACCCCACAGGGCGCUUUUGAAGACCAAAUGAUGUAACUGCUAUGAAAGUGCUUUGUAAAUUGCUGUGGAAAUUGCGAGAUACUUAUCCCCCGGAGGCUGUCCUCCGUCCUUCACAUGCCCAGCCCUCUUCUCCCGCAGUAGUAACAGCCAGCACCCAGUAGGUGCUGUGUGUGUUUGCACUCCAUAAGUAAAUUCCAGAAGAAAUAAAAACGGAAUUAAUUCAACAAACAUUUUCUGGAACCCUGACAAUAUGCCCAGCACACCAGGCCUGGGAUGUGAUACAAAGAUGAUGAAAACAGUCUCUUGGAAGCUAAUUGGGGUCCUCAUUUGACCAGCACUUUCUUUCGUCCCCUUUUAAGCCAACCAGUUUUGUCCGGACAAGACAAAAACAACUCAGGCCGCCUUGCAGAAGCCCAGCUUGGUGUGGACAAUAGCUCCCAGGCAUCUGAAAGGGCCUGAUUGGAUUAUGUGGCAAAUGAAGGUGGAAGGAUGACUUGGAAGGUGACAAAUGAAGUGGGCGGAGAUCUGCUUUGAGUUAAUCCAGGCUAUUAGGAGGCCACCUUUUGUCUUCCAGAGGCUGGCAGGAGCUUUUACCACUGGUUUUUACAUCCUUAAUGUAAGGACGCAUAAUUUAUGGUCAGUGAAAGUCCAGGCCCCGGUGAGAUUGGAGUGGGCUGUAAAAUUGAGCGUCCUGCUACCAGUGAGUAAUUAUGGUGACCGUUUCUGUCUCCUUUGUAGUAUGCAGAGCCCUUUUUGGCAACCGUCAAUUCAUUUGAACCUCACAACUCCCUGUCCCGGCCCGGGGCUGGCCUGCACCUUCUAGGGGAACAGAGCCAUCAAGCGGCCUUUCAGAUUGGGGUCCCACCGUACAUGUGUACCCCCAGUGCCUCUCACCUUGUAAAGGAAGGGGUGCCCUCUGCUCUGGUCCCUCCCAUCUCAGCCCUGGACCUCCCACCAUCGGUUAUCCUCUGAAUUCCUAACUUUGCUCUCUCCACAGCCUCCCAGGUCCCUUCUGUCCUCCUUUCUAGCCACUACCGUUUCUCUCUUUCCUUUCGCAGCCAAGCUUCUCGAAAGGCCUGUCUUCACUUGCUGUCUUCCUUCCUCACCUCCAAUUUCCUCUUCAACCCACUGCCUCCUGACUUGCUCUACUCCAUCGAGCGGCUCUCACUAAGGUAAUAACUUUUCUGGAGCUUCACCUUGGCCAUGUGUCUGGCUCUUGGACACAGGGACUCAUUCUUUCUCUUACAUAGCUUUUCGGCUCCGGUUCACUUCUGUUGACACACUCCCUGUAGACCUCACGGGGACACCUGCUCCUGGCUUCCCUCAUUUCUUAGUUUUCCCAGAAACUUGCAUAUCCGGAUCUCCCAAUGUCUGGAAGCUGCCUCUUGCCAUCUCGCCCUGGGUUCGAGCCUUGGCUAGCCCACUUAGUGCUGGGGCCUUGGGGUAGGUCAGUUUUCCCAAGCCACCUUUUUCUCAGUUGUAAAAUAGGGUUAAUCGUCUUUACCUGGCAGGUGAGGUGGGCUAUCUUGCAGGUAAGAACCAGAGACGAUUUGAAAGACUUAAAAUAAAGUCAAUCAGGUAUUCAGGAGAAAAUACAAUUGGAGUCCCCAUUAGAUUUCCUUACAGGUUGAAACCGUUCCCAUGGGGAGGACCAAAGCGAGAAGAAAGAGGUGGAGAGGGGCGGGGCGGGGGGGGGGAGUGGGAGAGAAAGAAGAAAAGAAUUUACAGAAAAACCCACUAAAGACAAAAAAGUAGGGGGGAGAGAUUUAGAGAAUAUUAAAAUCUACCAAAAAAGACAUCCAGAGAAAGGUUUUCAGUUUCGGCUGAAAGAAAGUAAACAGGAAAAAGGUUUUAAAUUGAUUAUCCCAGUGACAAAUCCCAGGAAGCUUUCAAAUCAAAUUGCCCCAUUUUGGGUUUUUAACUCCUUCUAUCAAGUUUAACCUCUUUACCUCCUGCAUCCUGGUUAGACCCCCUGCCCCCCCUUUGCUGGUGAUUAAAUCCCCAAGGUGCACAGGAGUCUUUCAAUGAAUGAAUGGCCUACAGAAAGAGCCCACCCCUCCCCCCAGCUGUGUUUUUCAGUUUUAUUCCACUUUCCGCCCUUUUCCCUUAAUGAACACAGGGCUAAUCUUAGGCCCUGUCAAGGAGGAGGCUGCAGACGUUAAUGAGGUAGCCGCUGGAUUCCAAUAUUCAUCUCAUAAGGAGCCUUCUUUGUCUGCAAAGGAAAAACACACUGAUUAUCAUAAUGAGGUGAACUGGCGUCCACAGGGCAGGGCCACUCGCUUCUUCGCCCACACUUCUAAUUUUGGGGCCGGAGCUGAGGUUUCAUUUGCUCCCCCUUUAAGUCUUUGCCUCCAUCCCUGCGAGCAGUCCAUUGAGCGGGGUUGAAAGUUGAAGGCAGCUUUGGGAAGCGGGCUGCAGAUAGGGCUGCUUUGUGGAAAGUUUCUUUGUUCGACCCUAUACCCAGGGCGAGGGCGAGUCACACCUCUUGGGUUCCUUCUCCGAGGGCUGAGGACCCAGAGCACACAUUUCCCCGUCCGGCACGCACCUGACUUGUUCCAGGACCACUGAACAUUCACACUUACUCAAGAUUACCAAAGGUAGAAUGGUGGAAUUCUCACAAAGUCAACACCCAUGGGAUGCUCCACUUAGGUCAAGAAAUGGAUGGAUGUUGGUGCCCCAGAGGGCCACCCCCUGGAAGGGUGUGCUUUAGGGUCCAUGUUUGGCUCCCGAAUGCUGUUAGAGAGGUUCAGAGUCCAGCAGUGUGUUAGGAUCACUCAGAGAGCCAAGUGCCAGAGGGAACAUUACAGCUCAGGUCGGGCAUCAGAACCUGUAGACGCUCCUUUCACGCCCCAACGUCGCCUUCUCCCAUGUGUCCUGCAGCCCGCCUGAAUCCCCCUUCUGUCCUGAUCCUUGAACUCCCCAGAGCCCAUUCUUGUCUCUAGAGCAGGUAUGCCUCGAGUCUGCCCUUAUGUGUCCCGAGUUGUGGACAUUUCUCACCCCAAGGCAGAUCAAUCAAGAUCAGAUCACUCCAAUUAAACUUUAAUUCCAGCUUUAGCCAGACCUUCAGCCAAGUGGAAAAAAACUAAGGGAGAAGCGAGGUGGUUGGAGCCAGAAAAUUUUAUUAGUAGAAAACUUCCUCCCUUAACUUAUCUCUUGGCUAAAGGUUCCCUGGCAUCAUGGGUCAGAAUUAGACAUGUUUUCCAAGUUAGCAAAACCAACUCUUGUCCAACAUCCCCAAAAAAUCUCGAAGGAUGUCCAGGUGGUUGGGUGGGGUGAUUCCACCCCUUUGGGUGGAGGUGACCCAGAGGUCGCCCGGAUUAGGAACCAGGAUGAGGUUGAGCACCUCUGAAAAUGGUGAUCCCACAGAGACCUACCCCACUCCCCCACGCAGUCAUUGAAGAGUGAAAGAAGAGCAGUUCUUGGGGUUGCUAAGUGAGGACUUUUAAAUAGGAACACAAUCACAGGACCCUUCCCACCCUCAAACAACACUGAUAAUUAAAAGAUGAGCCCCAAAGCCAUUAAUAUGCCAGCAUUUGAGAACCUGGGGAGGGGGUGGAAGGCAUGAGUCGGCCAGGAUCUUCAGGGUGUGCUUACUCCCGGGACCCUAACAGCGCCUGCCACAUGGUGAAACUCCCAGCCGGACUCCUGCUUGGGUUUCUGGAAAGCAGGCAGUCGUCUUAAACUUUCCUGAGGCCACCAGCAGAGAAUCUGAGCUGAUUGCCUCCUCGAGUUGGGGGGUUGCCCCUUUUAACUUGCCUUCUUGGUUCUGUGGCACCCCUUUCAUGCCUGGGAUGGACGCGGCUCUCAGCUGCCUGUGGACUCAGGACCCCUGCACCACAUCUCCAGCCCACUGUAGGCUUCCCGUGUUGGUCACCUGACCCCUGGAGCCCACUGGUCUCAAGAUCCGUCAUUAAGUCAGUCCUGGAGGCUCAGGAGAUGUGGGAGGAGGCAGCUUAAGCAGAUGGGAAACCAGAGGAGUGAGGCCAGGAGAUGCCCCCAAUUCUGAGUUUCUGUUUUUCUGCUUUUCCUGCCUCCGUUUCUGUUCUCCAUCUCCCCUUCGUCUCCCCUGCUUCUCCAUCAUGUCCUAACCCCAUCCUCUGGGGGUACCCUAGGCCAGCCCACACCUCCUUGGGGUGUCCCAGUACCAGCUUGGCAAAAAAGUGGGGCUCAGUAAGAGUAUGUGGGAUGUCUGUUUGGACAGGUGAGUCAAUGAAGGAACUCGGCCACCACACCUGAGCUGCUAGACGGGAGGCAUUGGGGUGCAAGGAGUUUGAGGUCAAAAGGGUGGAGGGGCCGUUUGCUUUGACUGCGGAAUGGGUGUCGCCCCAUCCUCAGCCCCGUUUGAGUGGGGUCUUGCUGGUCUCACGCCUUCAUUCACUCAUGCGUUCAUCCCGUCAUUCAACAGUUGAUCCUUACUCAGCAAGCCCACAGCCCGGCACGGGCUGGGCACCCGCCACGCUAGCGUGUCCCUUGAUGGCCUCUGCCACCCCUGGGAGGGCAGGCCGGGGGGUUGCUUCUGCCACAGGCGGCCUCACGGCUGUCCCAGGCGCUGGAGCGGUGAAUUCCCCGCUCUGUAGUAGGCAUGCAGGACGGUGCGAGGGGCAGGCCUGGCUGGCCUUCCUUUGGAACCUUUAAUUCAAACCCCAGAGGAACCUCAGACUGCCUGUGCUUGCCGCUGGUCCGAGCCAGCCCCGCCUGCUCUCUCUGCCUCCCGCACUCCAUCCUGUCGCUGAGUGCUGAUGACUGUCCUGGACCCCUGGCCCUGAACUCAGGACCAAGGUGGGAAUAUAGGACAGUGUGGUGUGUGUCCUUUCGGGCUCUGGCCACAAAGGUCUCCCUCUUGAGUUGAGGUGUGUGAUUUGGACCCCUCCCUCCAAGAUGCCUUCCUUCACCGGGGCUAAAACCAGCUCCUUUGCCCCCCAGGCAUUGGCUGGGGCCUGUCUCAUGCAAAGGACAGAUGGCUAGGACCCUCGGGGGAGCUCUGCAGGCUCCGCUUCUGCCGGCUGCCCACCUGCUCUGUUCUGCUCUGCCUGGCGGCCCCUCCCCUGGCUCUCCACCAGUCAGGUGGACUGCCCACCUGAGGCUCUGCUUGCCAUAGUCUGUUGCUCAGCCUGGCCCACUUCCCCCUUCUCUGUGCCGAGUCACCUGGCUCAUGCCCUGGGCUCCGCUGUCUCGCCCUCUGCCUAACGGGUUGCUUUUCCUUGCUGAGCCCACGUCUGUGGUUACCUGGCCUGCCUGCUGCCUUGCCACCUCCUGCCUGCUGGCCUUUUGCCCUGCUAUGGGUCCAAAUGCCCCUCCCCUUCAGUGCUGCCCGGGGUUCCAGUGGGUCCCCAGUGUCCAUGGGACAAGCCCUUGCUGUCAGGCCACCUCCCCCAGCCAUCCUCAAAUGCUUCCAGCCGUGGGACUGACUUCCUAGGGUCUAAGUGACCGUGGGAUGCAGCGAGACCUGUCCUGUCCCCUCCCUCCGUCCAGAUCCCUUGUCGUGUCCUAACAGGAGUCACCCAUGGCCUGCCCGUAUUGCCGCUCUGUCCCUGUGAGUCCUGGGCUGUGCCCUGCCCCAGGGCUCAUGGGGGCUGCCACCUGGGCCUGUUGCAUCCCUUGCCCAUGGCCCGUCCCCACGAGCCACCUCCCUCCACUGACAACCACACCACAGGUCGGCCCCGUCCUUGGGCCAUGGGCUGCAACCUGGUCGGGUCGGCUGAAGAACUGGACGGAAGGGAUGGAAGAACCCCCGGAGGACCCCCACCCUGGACCACGUCCUUCCUGAUGGCCGCCUGGCGCCUCACGCCCACCCUGUGCCCGUCGCCACCUCCUGGUUUGGGCCGAAGCCGUCGUUCGGAAUCCUCCGUGGGAAGGGACCUCGGACGCGUGAUCCCAGCACCGUCCAGCUUUCCAAUCCCUCCACAGCCACGGGGACGCCCCGCACACGUUCCUGCGGGACAGGCUGGACCCAAAGACUCUGGACCCGGGCCGCCCCCUGCGAGGAGGGGCACACCCUCCCCGCCUCCCCUCCGGUAGCCACCCGUCUUCUGACUGAUGACUUCACUGAUCUGAGGGUCAGACACACGAGUUUGACCCCUGCCUGCCCCUCACGAGCCCUGAGACUUGGGGGAGCCACCGAGCCUUCGUUGUCCGCAUCUGUGAAGUCUCCUCGGACACCUACCUCACAGGGUUGUUGUGAGGAGCAUGUGAUGUGGUUCAGAAGGGCCCGACCUGGGGCCUGGCACACCCGAUUGUGCUCUCAAUAAAUGUGUUUCUUGCCUUAA